UACGUAGGGCGCAAGCGUUAUCCGGAAUUAUUGGGCGUAAAGAGCUCGUAGGCGGUUUGUCGCGUCUGCCGUGAAAACCCGGGGCUCAACUCCGGGCCUGCAGUCGAUACGGGCUGGCUUGAGUGCGGUAGGGGAGACUGGAAUUCCUGGUGUAGCGGUGAAAUGCGCAGAUAUCAGGAGGAACACCGGUGGCGAAGGCGGGUCUCUGGGCCGUAACUGACGCUGAGGAGCGAAAGCGUGGGGAGCGAACAGG
rnacentral:rRNA from 1 species